GUCGAACGGUAACAGAAUCUUUCUUGCUACUUUGCUGACGAGUGGCCGAUGGGUGAGUAAUGUCUGGGAAACUGCCUGAUGGAGGGCGAUAACUACUGGAAACGGAAUCUAAUACCGCAUAACGUCGCAAGACCAAAGAGGGGGACCUUCGGGCCUCUUGCCAUCAGAUGUGCCCAGAUGGGAUUAUCUAGUAGGUGGGGUAACGGUUCACCUACGCCACGAUCCCUAGCUGGUCUGAAAGGAUGACCAGCCACACUGGAACUGAAACACGGCCCCCACUCCUACGGUAAGCACCCGGGGGGAAUUUUGGGCAAUGGGCGCAAGCCUGAUGCCCCCAUGCCGCGUGUAUGAAAAACGGCUUCGGGUUUUAAAAUACUUUCCCCGGGGAAGAAGGGGGGAAGGUUAUGAAACCCCUGCAUUUGAGGUGAAGAAAAAAAACCCAUCGGUAAAUUCCUGCCCAGAAUCCCGGGAAAACGAAGGUUGCACGCGUUACUUCAAAUUAAGGGGGUAAAGCGCCGGUGGGGGGGGGCCAAUCGAAUGUUAAAUUUCCGGGCUCGCCUGGACUUGCAUUCGAACUAUUAAGCUAGAUUCUUGCAAAAGGCGGUACAAUUUGGGGUGUACCGGAAAUCUGCUUAGAUUUCGGGGAGGAACAACCGGGGGUAAAAGCUCCCGUUGGGCCCCAAAAUUUUUUCCCUCGUGGGCGAAAGGUUUUUUGACCAGGGGGGGAA
rnacentral:rRNA from 1 species